UUUAGGCGUCCUUACCUGCCACGAGGCAGCAUGCCACUGCUGUUUCGUUUUUUGGUCAUUCUCUUUCCUCUGCUUGAUCCUGCAAGCAACGCUUUGUCGAUCCCGGGGAGACGAAGACGAAGUACUCGAUUCAGGAAUUCGAAUCAAGAGGCGGUGGUGGUGGUGUCUGUGAUUGAUCUCCCCCGGUGUGUCUGGGAGCGGCGGGGGCGAAGGCGGUGGUGCCGCAAUCGCGAUGAUCUUAUUCAGGAAUUCGGUGGCAAGGGGGGAGAUUUAUUGGUGGCGAGGGGGGAGAUUUAUCCGAUUGUUUUGAUUGAUCAUCAGACAAUAAAAGAUUGAAUCUUUGUGAAUCUUCUCUUCUGGGUUUUUGUUUUAUCGUAGAAAGGAUACACACGAUGGAGUCGUUUCUAGUCCAUCAUAUAGUGAUUGUGUUGCUGUUUCUUUGGUUUCUCUCUUGGCUGGAUCGAUCUCACGGCUUUUUCCACUUCAUCUCUCUCAUUUAUCUCUACUUGGUUCAUGAACGGUAUGUGAUGAGAUUGAAGAGACAGUUACAGUUUGAAGAGAGGAAGCAAGCUAAUCAAAGAAGGAAAAAAGCUGUGAUUCAGCACCUUUACAUGGGAAAAAACCGCCUCUCUUGACUGAUAUUAGGGUCCUUCGCCAAUCCAAGGGUGAUGAUCACUUGGUAUAGUGGUACCGGAGCUUGGAAUUAAUUUCCUAGCAGCAUAUGAUAUGAGUGCCAUACUUGCUGUGAAACUAAGGAAAAGGCUUGGUUUUGGGAUGUGGACAAAUUUGAAUUUGACGGGAAUGCAGGUCGAAGGAAAGGUACUAACAACUUUCCUUUGCUUUAUCUAAAUGUGAUCUUCUAAUGUCUAAUUUUGUGACUCAAUGAAAAAUAAACAAUAUCUGUCUCAUUUUAAUGAACGUCUCAGUUUUGUUUUGAUUCUUGAA